UGGGGAAUAUUGGACAAUGGGCGAAAGCCUGAUCCAGCCAUGCCGCGUGUGUGAAGAAGGUCUUCGGAUUGUAAAGCACUUUAAGUUGGGAGGAAGGGCAGUAAGCGAAUACCUUGCUGUUUUGACGUUACCGACAGAAUAAGCACCGGCUAACUCUGUGCCAGCAGCCGCGGUAAUACAGAGGGUGCAAGCGUUAAUCGGAAUUACUGGGCGUACAGCGCGCGUAGGUGGUUCGUUAAGUUGAAUGUGAAAGCCCCGGGCUCAACCUGGGAACUGCAUCGAAAACUGGCGGGCUAGAGUAGGGCAGAGGGUGGUGGAAUUUCCUGUGUAGCGGUGAAAUGCGUAGAUAUAGGAAGGAACACCAGUGGCGAAGGCGACCACCUGGGCUCAUACUGACACUGGGGUGCGAAAGCGUGGGGAGCAAACAGG
rnacentral:rRNA from 1 species